GUGACCCUUCCAAAUUGGCUGUCGUGUGCUUGCUGUAAAAUCCAUUACUGGGGAAUAUCCAGCCUGGUUUUAAGUAGGGAGAGAAGAGCUUGGAAAAGAACUUGACUGCAGUGCUCUGCAUGCAGCAGAAGCAAUCCUACCAGCCCUGUGCCAAAUGGACUCCUGUUUUUCUGAAACACACAACAGCUGGAAUGAAGUUGGAAAGGAUGUUUGGAUUCCAAAGCCUGGGAUGCCUUGCUUCUGCUACUGUACAGUGGAAGCAGCUGCGUUUUGGAGUAUGGCCUUUCUUCAGGAUGUGCCUUCCUGCCCUCUUACCACCUUGUUGCCCUCGUCUGGACACUUUCAAGGACCUUAACACCCCUUCUAUAGUGUG